rnacentral:rRNA from 1 species
GAUGAACGCUGGCGGCGUGCCUAAUACAUGCAAGUCGAGCGAACAGACGAGGAGCUUGCUCCUCUGACGUUAGCGGCGGACGGGUGAGUAACACGUGGAUAACCUACCUAUAAGACUGGGAUAACUUCGGGAAACCGGAGCUAAUACCGGAUAACAUGUUGAACCGCAUGGUUCAACAGUGAAAGACGGUCUUGCUGUCACUUAUAGAUGGAUCCGCGCCGCAUUAGCUAGUUGGUAAGGUAACGGCUUACCAAGGCAACGAUGCGUAGCCGACCUGAGAGGGUGAUCGGCCACACUGGAACUGAGACACGGUCCAGACUCCUACGGGAGGCAGCAGUAGUGAAUCUUCCGCAAUGGGCGAAAGCCUGACGGAGCAACGCCGCGUGAGUGAAGAAGGUCUUCGGAUCGUAAAACUCUGUUAUUAGGGAAGAACAAAUGUGUAAGUAACUAUGCACGUCUUGACGGUACCUAAUCAGAAAGCCACGGCUAACUACGU